UGGGGAAUUUUGGACAAUGGGCGAAAGCCUGAUCCAGCAAUGCCGCGUGUGUGAAGAAGGCCUUCGGGUUGUAAAGCACUUUUGUCCGGAAAGAAAUCCUCUGGGUUAAUACCUCGGGGGGAUGACGGUACCGGAAGAAUAAGCACCGGCUAACUACGUGCCAGCAGCCGCGGUAAUACGUAGGGUGCAAGCGUUAAUCGGAAUUACUGGGCGUAAAGCGUGCGCAGGCGGUUUUGUAAGACGGAUGUGAAAUCCCCGGGCUUAACCUGGGAACUGCAUUCGUGACUGCAAGGCUAGAGUAUGGCAGAGGGGGGUAGAAUUCCACGUGUAGCAGUGAAAUGCGUAGAGAUGUGGAGGAAUACCGAUGGCGAAGGCAGCCCCCUGGGCCAAUACUGACGCUCAUGCACGAAAGCGUGGGGAGCAAACAGGAUUAGAUACCCUGGUAGUCCACGCCCUAAACGAUGUCAACUAGUUGUUGGGGAUUCAUUUCCUUAGUAACGUAGCUAACGCGUGAAGUUGACCGCCUGGGGAGUACGGUCGCAAGAUUAAAACUUAAAUGAAUUGACGGGGUCUUAGCUGUUUCCU
rnacentral:rRNA from 1 species